rnacentral:rRNA from 1 species
UUUAUGGAGAGUUUGAUCCUGGCUCAGGAUGAACGCUGGCGGCGUGCCUAAUACAUGCAAGUCGAGCGAACGGACGAGAAGCUUGCUUCUCUGAUGUUAGCGGCGGACGGGUGAGUAACACGUGGAUAACCUACCUAUAAGACUGGGAUAACUUCGGGAAACCGGAGCUAAUACCGGAUAAUAUUUUGAACCGCAUGGUUCAAAAGUGAAAGACGGUCUUGCUGUCACUUAUAGAUGGAUCCGCGCUGCAUUAGCUAGUUGGUAAGGUAACGGCUUACCAAGGCAACGAUGCAUAGCCGACCUGAGAGGGUGAUCGGCCACACUGGAACUGAGACACGGUCCAGACUCCUACGGGAGGCAGCAGUAGGGAAUCUUCCGCAAUGGGCGAAAGCCUGACGGAGCAACGCCGCGUGAGUGAUGAAGGUCUUCGGAUCGUAAAACUCUGUUAUUAGGGAAGAACAUAUGUGUAAGUAACUGUGCACAUCUUGACGGUACCUAAUCAGAAAGCCACGGCUAACUACGUGCCAGCAGCCGCGGUAAUACGUAGGUGGCAAGCGUUAUCCGGAAUUAUUGGGCGUAAAGCGCGCGUAGGCGGUUUUUUAAGUCUGAUGUGAAAGCCCACGGCUCAACCGUGGAGGGUCAUUGGAAACUGGAAAACUUGAGUGCAGAAGAGGAAAGUGGAAUUCCAUGUGUAGCGGUGAAAUGCGCAGAGAUAUGGAGGAACACCAGUGGCGAAGGCGACUUUCUGGUCUGUAACUGACGCUGAUGUGCGAAAGCGUGGGGAUCAAACAGGAUUAGAUACCCUGGUAGUCCACGCCGUAAACGAUGAGUGCUAAGUGUUAGGGGGUUUCCGCCCCUUAGUCUUUGCGACUAACGCAUUAAGCACUCCGCCUGGGGAGUACGACCGCAAGGUUGAAACUCAAAGGAAUUGACGGGGACCCGCACAAGCGGUGGAGCAUGUGGUUUAAUUCGAAGCAACGCGAAGAACCUUACCAAAUCUUGACAUCCUUUGACAACUCUAGAGAUAGAGCCUUCCCCUUCGGGGGACAAAGUGACAGGUGGUGCAUGGUUGUCGUCAGCUCGUGUCGUGAGAUGUUGGGUUAAGUCCCGCAACGAGCGCAACCCUUAAGCUUAGUUGCCAUCAUUAAGUUGGGCACUCUAAGUUGACUGCCGGUGACAAACCGGAGGAAGGUGGGGAUGACGUCAAAUCAUCAUGCCCCUUAUGAUUUGGGCUACACACGUGCUACAAUGGACAAUACAAAGGGCAGCGAAACCGCGAGGUCAAGCAAAUCCCAUAAAGUUGUUCUCAGUUCGGAUUGUAGUCUGCAACUCGACUACAUGAAGCUGGAAUCGCUAGUAAUCGUAGAUCAGCAUGCUACGGUGAAUACGUUCCCGGGUCUUGUACACACCGCCCGUCACACCACGAGAGUUUGUAACACCCGAAGCCGGUGGAGUAACCUUUUAGGAGCUAGCCGUCGAAGGUGGGACAAAUGAUUGGGGUGAAGUCGUAACAAGGUAGCCGUAUCGGAAGGUGCGGCUGGAUCACCUCCUUU